rnacentral:rRNA from 1 species
UACGGAGGGUGCGAGCGUUAAUCGGAAUUACUGGGCGUAAAGCGUGCGCAGGCGGCCCGUUAAGACAGGUGUGAAAUCCCUGGGCUCAACCUAGGAAUUGCGCUUGUAACUGGCGGGCUCGAGUACGGUAGAGGGGGGUGGAAUUCCUGGUGUAGCAGUGAAAUGCGUAGAGAUCAGGAGGAACACCGAUGGCGAAGGCAGCCCCCUGGGCCUGUACUGACGCUCAUGCACGAAAGCGUGGGGAGCAAACAGG